CUGGCGGCGUGUUUAGACAUGCAAGUCGCACGGGACUAUUUGAGUAGCAAUACAAGAAUAGUCUAGUGGCGCACGGGUGAGUAACACGUGAAUUACAUGCCCUGCAGAGGGGGAUAGCCCAGGGAAACUUGGAUUAAUACCCCAUGGUCCCAGCACUUUUUAAAGGUUCCGAAGUCCGGCAGGACGGCGGAGUUUUCAAAAAGUGCUGGGUAAAGGUGGCCGCAAGGCUGUCGCUGCAGGAUUGGUUCGCGCCCUAUCAGCUUGUUGGUGAGGUAACGGCUCACCAAGGCUACGACGGGUACCUGGUCUGAGAGGACGAUCAGGCACACUGGAACUGAGACACGGUCCAGACACCUACGGGUGGCAGCAGUCGAGAAUAAUUCACAAUGGGGGCAACCCUGAUGGUGCAACGCCGCGUGGAGGAUGAAGGUCUUCGGAUUGUAAACUCCUGUCAUCCGGGAGUAAGACCUGGCGAUGAAUAGUCGACAGGGUUGAUAGUACCGGAAGAGGAAGGGACGGCUAACUUCGUGCCAGCAGCCGCGGUAAUACGAAGGUCCCGAGCGUUGUUCGGAAUCACUGGGCGUAAAGGGGAGCGUAGGCGGCGUGGUAAGUCAGAUGUGAAAUCCCGGGGCUCAACCCCGGAACUGCAUCCGAUACUGCCGUGCUAGAGGAUUGGAGAGGUAGCUGGAAUUCACGGUGUAGCAGUGAAAUGCGUAGAUAUCGUGAGGAACACUCGUGGCGAAAGCGAGCUACUGGACAACUCCUGACGCUGAG
rnacentral:rRNA from 1 species